GUGGGGAAUCUUGCGCAAUGGGCGAAAGCCUGACGCAGCCAUGCCGCGUGAAUGAUGAAGGUCUUAGGAUUGUAAAAUUCUUUCACCGGGGACGAUAAUGACGGUACCCGGAGAAGAAGCCCCGGCUAACUUCGUGCCAGCAGCCGCGGUAAUACGAAGGGGGCUAGCGUUGCUCGGAAUUACUGGGCGUAAAGGGCGCGUAGGCGGACAGUUUAGUCAGAGGUGAAAGCCCAGGGCUCAACCUUGGAAUUGCCUUUGAUACUGGCUGUCUUGAGUUUGGGAGAGGUGAGUGGAACUCCGAGUGUAGAGGUGAAAUUCGUAGAUAUUCGGAAGAACACCAGUGGCGAAGGCGACUCACUGGCCCAAUACUGACGCUGAGGUGCGAAAGCGUGGGGAGCAAACAGGAUUAGAUACCCUUGUAGUCC
rnacentral:rRNA from 1 species